rnacentral:lncRNA from 1 species
UGUUAUGUUUUUCGCUACUUGAUGGGAGUAACUCUUUCCAAACUCCCUUUGUGUUUUCUAGUAAACAUAAAUUGAUAAAUAAUAAAAAUAUUUAUAUUUUAGUGGUAAUUAUAUGCAAGAAAUAAUGGUAAAUUUGUAAAUAUCUCAAGGUAAUGCUUGAGUCACAAAUUUUUACUUCAAAGAUAGCCAGGUAUUGUUCUCUAUAUUCUUUCUUUAGAAUACCAAACUUCAAUAUUUGUUCUAAAAUGAUGAUCUGUGUCAUGGUUGGGAAGGUUUAGCUCUCCUUUUUUGAGGGCUUUUUUCCUAAUAAAGUAUGUUAGCAAGGUGUGCCCUUCUUUAAAACCAAUAUCUGCCUCUUAUAUUUCUCUUUCAUAGAGCAAUUGAAUUACUUUCAAACAGUCAAUGGUGAUUGACUUUCUUCUUGGUGGUGCCCUUUUUUAAAAAAAAUAGUAUUUCAUGUUAAUUUCUGAUGUUCUAAGGUUAAUUUGCAUUUGCC